rnacentral:lncRNA from 1 species
AUGAGAGUUCUGUCACUGGCUUCAGUGGAAACAGGAUCAGGACUGCAGUGCAGAUAUCAGCAAAUGGUGCUUGUCCAUAGAAAUGAUCAGGUUAGUAAACAAUGUAUUGACUGGAAUGUUCCCAGAUCAAGUGUCACAGUAAUCAAUUCUGUGAAAUACUCUCCAACUUCUGACAACUACUAUGUGCCCACCACCUCCCCUCCCAAAAGCAAAUACCCUCUUGUUACUAGCCCUGCCUGGGCUCCACUCCAAGCACAGUAAGAUCAGGUAGAAAACACAAAGGUUCUCAAACACUGAAUGUCUGAAACAAUGUCUGGAGUGUCAUUCUUCCUGCGUGACCUCAUGGUACUUGGAAUCUGCCUUCUCCCUUGCAGACUGGAGUGGAUCCUUCAAAUCUUAAUACCUGGAUGUGCCAAGCAAGCCCUUAAAGGAAGAGGGACUGGCAUAUUCUUGCCUAUAAAGUGGUGGAGCAGUCUCAGAGCUAGUUUUAGCUUUACAAGCAGUGACCUUUUCAGACUGACAGUCACUUAGACAAGACAAGCAACUGGUAUUGUCAUUGUUAAGGUGGCAACCUAAAUGGAAUCUAGGGGAAUUCUCAAAAUCUGCAAAAAGAAAAGCUUUAUUAACUCACAAGCCUCUAAAGUUGUCACUGCCAAUUCUUGCCUAUGCAACAAGAUAAAUUUGGUCUGGAUUACUGGUCUUGAAACUAGGUGGUUGCAUCAGAUGUUUGUGGCAAGAGAAGUUAUUAAUUAUCAGGGACCUUGAAAAUUAGUGUAGUGAUAAAUAUGUCAAAAGUACUUUGAGGGGCUCACAUUCCCCCCCCCCCCCCCAAAAAAAAAAAAAUUUUAGAUAAUCGCAGCAGAGAUACAGUACAGAUAAUAGGAAGGAAAGAGCAAAACCAAUGUUUCCUUAGUGAAAAGCCAGAGCCUCACAAAAUGCUACUGAAGGGCAAGAAUCCAGGUUCACUGUGGAAAAAGUCUGGAUCCUGGGCAGACCUGAGACUCUCUUGUUACACUGAGUUGAGACUACCUUAAUGUUCUGCCAUACCUGGACAUUAUGGUCGAGAUGUAAUUGUCUUGCCUCCCUGUUACCGGUAGCUUUAAUAAAUAUGCUCUUAACAGACCAGAGAAUGAGUUGGGCCUUAGGAGGUCCUCAGUAUGUUCAAAGCUUAACUGAUUUUAUUGUUACAAAUGAAAUAUACCAAACUAAAUAUUAAGACAAAAUACUUAUAAGAUUUGGAACACUGUUUUCAUAAUAUCAUAAGGAAAUAAGUAAUUCCAAAAUGAGUCGAUGAAAUACUAAGCAGUAAUAAGGCAAUAAUUAAAGCAUCUCGCAUUUCAAAUUUACCUUGAAGAACUUAAAUCAUGCACAUUGGUGGCUUAGCAAGCUUCCCUAUUUAUAUGGAAUAUUAGCUACUAGGAAUUAGUUUUAUAUCAUUCAGAUUCGUGUAAUAGAACAUUGCUAACGUUCUUCAUCUGAUUAAUUUUCUGCAGAGAAAUCUUGUUGAUAGCCUCUGAGGAUUUAGGAAAUGGUCUUGACUUGGUGAAAAUAGAAUCUGUAUUUGUAAUCAACUGGAAAGGCAAUAGAAUAAACUGUGAGAAUUAUAUAACCCAUCAGUAUGACUCAUGCUGUGAAAUGUAAGUUAAGGUGAACAGAGUGAAGAAAAUGUUGACUAUCUAAAAUGAAUAUAUAAAGUAACUAUAUCUCUGGAACAGCCUGUAUCAAGAACUUAGAAACUGAAUGAAAAAGCACUGUCAGAUUAAAGUACUUAAAUUUACCAUAUCUCUUAAAACCAAAGACAUAAGGACUGAACUUAGGAUCAUAGAUGAUGGAGAAAAAUAAUAAUUAAUGUAAACUUUUAAGUAGGAUGGGCAAGGAUUACUAUCUAAGUCAUAUACAACAUGAAUAAGAAAAAAGCAAUUUCUCUGCUGAUUCACAUUAAAUUUUUGUCUCUUUGUACUAGAAAGAUAAACAGAGAAAAACAAAUGCAAACUAAAAACAGAUCAGAAAUUUGAGAAACAAAGUGGAGAAGGCCAUACUUAAUUUAGCAGAGAACAAAUAUAAUGAAGAAAAUCCGUUACCUUGAAAGAUGUUCUGAAGAUUAUCUGCAAAAGCUCAAAUGGAAAAGGAGUGGCUAUUUUACAAGUAGACAAAGAGGGACAGUAUAGCUUUAAGAUAUGUAGGCUACAUCAGGAAUAUUUACUAGCACUCUCUUGAGACCUUUAUUCUAAACAUGAAGUUUUGUGUGGCCUGAUUAAGCUACUGUUUUAUAUAUAUAGAUAUAAAUAUAUUAUAUAUUUAUAUAGAUAUAUAAAAUAUAUAUUUACAUAUAUAAAAACAUAUUUACAAAGGAUUUGGUAGAGAAUUAAGAAUCAUCAUCAGAAUGGAGUACCUGUUCUAAUAUAACUUGCAUUCAACCAUGCCAAAAAGGUCACUCUACAUAGAGAGUUCUGUAAUGUAUUGCUAGAGAGUGUAUCUUUUUAGAAGUGGUUGUAACACAAAGGUAAAAUAAACAGCAAGCAGGACUGCAAAGUUGAAGAAUACUUGAUAGCGACUUCAAUGGAGGCAUUGGGUUUAACAGGUGAGUAAAACAAAAUAACCUCCAUAUUCUGAAUAUCUUUGCUAAAAUGGUACCUUUUUCAGCAUGCAUUUCAUUUCAUCUCAAUGUGUCAUUUAUCUUGUUUUCUUUCUUUGUGUCUUUACUAAAUAUAGCUUGAAUUAUCACAUUACUCAUUAAAACUGUACUAUUUGCAUUAUUAAGUAUUUGUGUCAACAGGCAAAACCUUGAUUUUUCUUAAAACAUUAUAAAAAUGCACAUGAAGUCCUGAUCUCUCUCUUCAAGCGUUUAAGCUGGAAAUGGUGUUCAGUGAUGUAUUCUUUUGAUUUAAAACAAAACAAAAAACCCACACCAAGCCUAAAACCCCUAACCAGAACAUCUCUGCAUACAGAUAAUAAAGCUUCCACUGAAGCUGUGAUUGUUACAUAGGUAUGGGAUUUGAACUUCUUUAAAUUAUUUUGAAUAGCGUAGAAAUAACUGUUAUGAAAAUAAUUUACGCAGAAUACUUUUUUAUCUAUGAAAAUUAAUAUAAAAUGUUAUGAUGCUACUGUGUGUUUGGACUCUGCAUUUAUUACGUAGUAGUAAGAAAGAAUUUAAACAAGUGUAUAAGCUGGCCUUUAUGUGAGUACUUAGAAGCCUAUUUAGUCCUCAUUUAACUUGCUCUGAAUUAAUGGGACUUCCGCACAUUCUUGAUAAUCAUUAUAUGCUUAAAUAUUCGCAGUAAAAUGUUCUGGAACUGAGCUGGUUUUAUGAAAGUAUUUUAUGAGUUUGUUUUGUGGCCUCUGAGAACGACAGCACCUACUGAUGCAAUAAGGUGCUUUACAAGCUUGCCUCUGGUGACAGAGGAAGUGUUUUCAAUGGAUAUCUCGUCUGACAUGCCAGCCCUUAUGGGCACAGAGCCAACUUUGGUCAGUAACUUACCAGAUUGUGUAAACACAUUGAUUGCUUCUGUUCAGUGGAGGAAACCACAUCACUCCUCAGACAUUAAUUAAGAUAGAUUAAAUAAUAAAC